rnacentral:misc_RNA from 1 species
GCGCCAUUUUGGAUGUUUACACUGAAUGUGGUUCAAGUUUUAAAAACUUUUGACGAACUUUAAAUUAUCGGUGCCAAAAAGAAAUGUCCUUCUCAGGCAGCGAUUCUAGAAGUCAUGAUAAAACAGGAAAACAAGGCGCAAAAACUGAUCAAAAUUGGAAGUAUACAAUAUACUUUGACCCAGAGGCAGACAGGAGAACUGGUGCAGAUUACGAAAUUGAAAACGAGCAAUUGAUUGAAAAGAUGUCGCAGCUGGUAGAUGCAGCUGAAAUGAUACAAAGUGUGCAAGCGUACAAAGGUCCUCUUGGCUGGUUUCAGCUAACCAAGGCUGUAUUUUACCAUGAAUUCAUAGUUUUUACAACUAAAAACUAUUACUGGUCAAUCGAGAAGCAUUCCGAUUGUAUAACAAUUCAAAGAGCGAAACUGAGAUGUAAUGUAGAACAGCGGUUUAGACAUAAUCCUAGGUUUGAUGGGUUUUCCGGGAUAACACUUAUAAAAUCUGCUGCGGGUACAAAGAGUAUAAAACAAUUGAUAGAUUGGUUGUAUAUAAAUCGUGAGCUUUACAAACAUUAUACUUUCUUCGAAUGGAAUUGUCAAUGCUUUGCAGAGCGAGUAUAUAAUUAUGUGACUUGAAUAAGUAAUGACAAGCUGAGACAAAAUAAAAUCAAUCAUGAAAAUUGUAAAUAAUUA